rnacentral:rRNA from 1 species
AGCGAACGCUGGCGGCAGGCCUAACACAUGCAAGUCGAACGAACCUUUCGGGGUUAGUGGCGGACGGGUGAGUAACACGUGGGAACGUGCCUUUAGGUUCGGAAUAACUCAGGGAAACUUGUGCUAAUACCGAAUGUGCCCUUCGGGGGAAAGAUUAAUCGCCUUUAGAGCGGCCCGCGUCUGAUUAGCUAGUUGGUUGAGGUAAUGGCUCACCAAGGCGACGAUCAGUAGCUGGUCUGAGAGGAUGAUCAGCCACACUGGGACUGAGACACGGCCCAAACUCCUACGGGAGGCAGCAGUGGGGAAUCUUGCGCAAUGGGCGAAAGCCUGACGCAGCCAUGCCGCGUGAAUGAUGAAGGUCUUAGGAUUGUAAAAUUCUUUCAGCUGGGAAGAUAAUGACGGUACCAGCAGAAGAAGCCCCGGCUAACUCCGUG